UAAGAGAUGGGCGAAAGCCUGGUUAGUAAGGGUGCAGAUGUGCUCUCCUCUCUCAUCCAGGGGAAGCAUAUCCGUCUUUGGUUCUCACCUCCAUAUGGGAGCUAGAAGUGUGGCACCGUCUCUCGAAAGGGCAUCGGGUUAAUAUUCCCGAACCAGACACUUGGAUGCUGCAUGGUUUGACUGCUGCCGCCUUUCACCGGGUGGUAGGAGGCGGCCAUGUGGGGCACGGUAACGUAUAUAUGUAUUAGUAAUGCUCGGUGACGCUUGCGAUAGCCCUGGGAAGAGUUGUCUUUUCUUCUUAACCGUACCAACCGUGUGCACAGCCCUGGAAGCAGUUUACCUUGAGAGAGGGCUGGAGGUCGGGUAAAGCGCUGCACUUAUUGUAGCGUCCAGUGCGCUGUCGAGAGCCCUUGAAAAACUGAGCUAGGACUGGACCUUGUUAGUCUCGUGUCUGGCCGUACCCAUCACCGCAUCAGGUCUCC
rnacentral:rRNA from 1 species